rnacentral:lncRNA from 1 species
CCUUGCUUUCCUGGCCGUUCUCUACCCUUCCUCCCCUGGCUUUGCUUACCCUUCGGAAGCUGAAGGAGCAACCACCCUCUAAGCGCCAGGCACUGUCCGGGAUGCAAGAAGUGACUCUGGUGACGGAGACCCUGGAGAGGGAUCAGCGGGAAACCCUGAAGGAAGGCCGCGGUCUGACAUCCGGAGCCGGUUCUUUGGAUGCCUUUUCAGCUGCAAACGGAAGGAAGGUCCUCGAGUUUGGAGGUUUCCAGAAGCGUGAAGGAGAAGGUGCAGGACACGGUGAGAAGCCUCCGGGGCCUGAAUAAGCAGAGAAAAGGUGCUCUGAGCUUCCUCAUCCAGUGACUUCACAGGGAGCAGGACCUGCAAGACCUACAGCGGUGUUUGACGUCCUGAUCUUUGGAGAGCUGCGGCAGGAGGAUCUGGCUCUCCAAAGCUGGGAGCCUGGUAGAAGCGCUUGCCAACACCAUUGUGGAGUUCGUGGACCCCUUGAUAGGUGAGGGAGGAUCCGGCUGGAUUCGGAGGUGGAGGAACUGCUGCUCAGGGAGGCCUGGGGAUCACAUCUUGGGGUGGAGACCAUCCUGGAGGAGAAGUGGGGUGUCCAGGCCAGCAAUCCCCAGGACCCAGACUGUGACCCCGAGGCGCAGGCCAUCUUUAUCCUCUAUCUUGCUGUCUCCAUACUGCUGCAGCUGAGCGAGCAGCCCACCACUUCUUUUUUUUUUUUUUUUUUGGUACCGGGGAUCGAACGCGGGACCUUGCGCUUGCGAAGCAGGCGCCGGAACCACUGAGCUAAAUCCCCGGCCUAGCCCACCACUUCUUAAGAGCUACUUCCCCACCUCCCGAGCCCACCCUCAAGCGGCCACCACGGCCACCACCGCCAUCAUCCUGUCACCAGAGGGACCUCAUCAGAACUCGCAGAUGGCUUUCUUCCAGGCACCCCUUCCCUGCGUGUUAAUAUCCCCAACCAGCCUGGAUUGUAUGCAUGGAUUUCUGGUUAAAACUGGCAGAUUGAUUUAUUAAUUUCUCUCCCUUGAAACCUCAUUAAAUGACAGUAGAGCAAUUGGGAAGGUAUAAGCCCUCCAGGAUAAAAAGGGAGUUGAAGUCGGGGAAUUUAACACAUCUUUAGAAGCUAGAAAGCAGGGGCCUGAGGGGCGCGCGCGCGCGUGUGUGUGUAUGUAUGCUGAUUUCAUCAGAAGUCUUUAGUUCUAUUUUAUAUUCUCAAAGAAAAUGUAAUUAGAAGUUAAAGAAAUAAUGUUGGGUACACAGCAUUUCAAACAUGUCUCCAAUACUAAGUAGAAGGUGGAGCUCCUCUGCAUCUCUCUUCCUUCGGAGACCAGAGGUAGCUGACGUCUGAAGCUAAGGUGACUUGUGCCAGGUAACAGACUGCUGUUUACAGAUCCAGGCACUGGGCUGUGGUUGCCUGGCCUGUGGAACCCAAGCCCAAGGGCCUCCCCGAGUGGGUUCCACUGGAAUCUCAAGGGUGCGCCUUCGUAGUAAAGGUGACUCAGCAGUAGAUCCAUGGCUCUUACCCCACCUCGGGGGAAUGCAGCCAAGACUUUUGGGUACUGAAUGAAGAAGAGGUUAUAAAAGAAAAGGGAAAGCCAGGGAUUUAGCUCAGUGGUUCUGCCACCUGCCUCGCAAGUGCAAGGUCCCGAGUUCGAUCCCGGGUACCAAAAAAAAAAGGGAAAAAAGUAUUCUGAGAGGUUGAGAUCAGAGGCACCUUGCUAAAGAACUCAGGCUCCCUGGCAGUGGACUUGGUUGGGGAGGUCUUGGGCCGAUCACAUGCUCAGGCACCCGUCAGAAUCACACUUGACCUUCAUUCCCAUAAAUGAUCAUCUCAGGCCAAUGAGUGCUUCCCAGGAAACUACCAACAACAAAGAAUCCAAGGAAGUAAAACCAUGAGCAAGAAUGAGCAAAAAUACAGGACAGCACAGCAGAAAGGUAAGAAAACAUCAAAUAAAUAAAUAAAUAAAAUAAAAUACUGGAAUUCCUAAACAAGGUUAUGAAAACAUAAUGAUGCUUAAAUUUGAAGAUGAGUCUGAGUGUGGUGGUGCAGACCUGUAAUCCCAGGACUCAGGAGGCUGAGGGAGGAGGGUUGCCAAGAGUUUGAGGCCAGCCUGAACUGCAUAGUAGGACCCUGUCGCAAAAAACCAAAAAAGUUCAAUCAAGGUUCCAAGAGCAGAAGACAAUGAGAUUCAGGCAGAGGCAAUGCUUGAUGAGACAGUGGUUGAGAAUUUUGCCGAAUUAAAGAUAAUCAUAGUUUUAGGAAAUGCAGUGAAUCCCUAGCAAGAUUUAUAACACAUUCACAUCUAGAAGAAUCAUAGUAAAAUGGAAGAAUAGCAACAAAGACAAAAAUUUUAAAACUAGUCGGAGAAGAAGACAACUGACCUUCAAGGAAGUUACAGACUGAAAACUCAGUGAGGAGCCGUUGAUGAUGAAAUUAUACCUGUGUGUGUUGAAAGGAAAGCACUGCUGAUUAAAUUUUUAUAAUCAGCAAAACUGUCUUUAAUGUAGCGGGGGGGGAUGGGAGAAAAUAGAAUUUAUUUUAAAAAAAACUACCAAAAAAAGUUAAUAUUGCAAUAUAUCAAAAAUUAUUUGGGAAGGGGCCGGGGAUUUAGCUCAGUGGUUCUGCUGCCUCCCUCGAAAGUGCAUGGAUCUGAGUUCCAUCCCUGGUACCAAAAAAACAAACAAACAAAAUAAAGGUAAAAUUAUUUUUAGAUAAGAAUGAAGAGCCUUUUUCCCUAGUAGGUCCUUAUUAAAGAAAAGUCAGGUAAAAGGAGAGACCUCAAAUAGAUUUGAAGCUGGGUGUGGUAGUAUACUCAGGAGGCUGAAGCAGGAAGAUCCCUGCGAGUUUGAGGGUCGCCUGGGCUGCAUAGUUCAAGGCCAGCCUGACAUAUGUGGAGACCCUAACUAACCACCCCCCCAAAAAACCCCAAACCAAUAAAAGGUAAAUAAAGAGUUAAAUCUAAAUAAGCAGUAAUUGCCAGAGCCUGGUAUGGUGGUGCACACCUGUGAUCCUAGCACUGGGGAGGCUGAGUCAGGGGGAUCACAAGUUCAGGCCCAACCUGGGCCACUUAGCAACUUAGAGAGACCCCCCCCCCAAACAAAAGAGAAGCUGGGGUGUUUCUCGGAGAGAAGGCCUUGGGUGCAGUCCCCAGUAACACACACACACACACACACACACACGCACGCAUGCACGGACGGUGAUGCACGCCUGUAAUUCCAGCACUUAGGCUGAGGCGUGAGGAUAGCUAGUUCAAGUCCCACCUAUGCAGAUUAGUGAGACUCUGUCUCAUAAUAAAAACUAAAAAAGGGCUGGGGAUGUAGCUCAGUGGUAGAGCACCCUUAGAUUUAGUCCCUAUGUAAACUUAUCAAAAUGGCAUCCUAUGGGGUAAACAUAACAACUGUAACUAAUAUAAGCCGGGGACUGUGGCGUACAAUCCUGGUCCCAGCUGUUUGGCUUGAGCUCCUAUGAGAAUCUAAGACCACAGCUGACCUGACAGGAAGUGGAGCUCCAGUGGUGAUGUGCAGAUGGGGAGCUGCCUAAAAGUUUUCCUCAGUUAAAAAAAAAUAAAAUUAAAAAAAUUUUUUAAAAACAGAAAAAAGAUGAAGAAGAAGAAAAAAAGAGUUUUCCUCAGUAAGAUGUUGUAAGUCCCAAACUGGAAACAACUCAAAUAUUCACUAACAGGAUGGAUAAAUGUACUAUUGUAUGUUCAUUCAAUGGAAUAUUAUACAGCAGGGAACAGGAACAAGCUGAAGUUAUUCUUUGGGGAGAAUUACAGCACAAAAAGAUAUAUUCAAAAAGAUUCUUUCCACCUAAUGUUAAAAAAAAAAAAAGAAAGAAAACUAUUGCUUAGGAAGCCACACUUUGGUGGUAAAAUUCCAAGAAAAGUAAGGCAGUCCUUAUUAGAAAAACAUUCUCUUUGGAGGAGCAAUGGUACAAUCAGAAGAGGCCUAUCUGAAUGCAGGGUGUGAAGGACGCGAGCGAUGUUUUAUUUCUCUGGGUGGUAGGUAGUUCAAGUGAGAAUUAUUUGUUAGGCUGUAUUUUUAUGUGAAUAUACUUUUCUUCAACUAUGAUGUGGUUCACAAUAAAUUAAAUAAAAGAGAGAAUGGUGGUAUUCACUUUUUUGUUUGUUGAGACAAGGUCUCACUAUGCAGUCCAGGCUGGCCUUGAACUCACUAUUCAGCCCAAGUGGGCUCGGACUCG